rnacentral:rRNA from 1 species
AUACGAAGGGGGCUAGCGUUGUUCGGAAUUACUGGGCGUAAAGGGUGCGUAGGCGGCAUGUUAAGUUGGAUGUGAAAUACCCGGGCUCAACCUGGGGGGUGCAUUCAAAACUGGCAAGCUAGAGUGCAGGAGAGGGAAGCGGAAUUCCUAGUGUAGCGGUGAAAUGCGUAGAUAUUAGGAGGAACACCAGUGGCGAAGGCGGCUUUCUGGACUGUAACUGACGCUGAUGCACGAAAGCGUGGGGAGC